rnacentral:tRNA from 1 species
GCCUGGAUGAACCUCAGUGGUCUGGGGUGCAGGCUUCAAACCUGUAGCUGAUUAACGUCAGAGUGGUUCGAUUCCACCUUCUAGGCG